GGGUCAGUAGGUUGGUCGUGCCACCGGUACGUACUGGUCCCACUGACUCCUCCUUCCUGAAGAACCGUAAUGCCAUUAAUUUGGUGUUGCGGGGAAACAGGACUGUUACUUUGAAAAAAUUAGAGUGUUUAAAGCAAGCUAACGCUUGAAUACAUUAGCAUGGAAUAAUGAAAUAGGACGAUCGAUCCUAUUUUGUUGGUUUCUAGGAUUGACGUA
rnacentral:rRNA from 1 species